AACGAACGCUGGCGGCAUGCCUAACACAUGCAAGUCGAACGAGACCUUCGGGUCUAGUGGCGCACGGGUGCGUAACGCGUGGGAAUCUGCCCUUGGGUUCGGAAUAACAGUUGGAAACGACUGCUAAUACCGGAUGAUGACGUAAGUCCAAAGAUUUAUCGCCCAAGGAUGAGCCCGCGUAGGAUUAGCUAGUUGGUGAGGUAAAGGCUCACCAAGGCGACGAUCCUUAGCUGGUCUGAGAGGAUGAUCAGCCACACUGGGACUGAGACACGGCCCAGACUCCUACGGGAGGGAGGAGUGGGGAAUAUUGGACAAUGGGCGAAAGCCUGAUACAGCCAUGGCGGGGGAGUGAUGAAGGGCUUAGGGUUGUAAAGCUCUUUUACCCGGGAUGAUAAUGACAGUACCGGGAGAAUAAGCUCCGGCUAACUACGUG
rnacentral:rRNA from 1 species